GGGGUAAACCUGCGAAACUCGAAUGAACGAACGGAGAGAUUCAUCGUCAUUCCGCGGCGUACGAGUGCGCGUUCGAUGUUCGUCGACCUCGGUCGGCGGGCACGUCGCGCACGCGUCGACGUCCGUGGACGGCGUGCACUUCUCUCUUAGUAACGCAUGCAUCGCGACCCGUUCGAUGUCGGUCUAAGCGCCGUCCGGGAGCCCCGCCGUCCCUGUCAAAGGGGGCGACGGGACCGCUGAUGGACGCCGACCGGCCGUCGGACGGUAUAUAGUACGACACGCGCACGCGUUUUUACGCGUCCGGCCCGACGCAAGUCAACGCCGUAUCCGACGUCCCGCCCGAGUGCGAACGUUGGUGCGGCGCGUCUGUCGUCGCCGCCGUGUAGUCUCGGACAGUGCGCGUCUCCGUCUGCGAUGAUUCAGUUUCGGGCACUCGCAGGACCCGUCUUGAAACACGGACCAAGGAGUCUAGCAUGUAUGCGAGUCAUUGAGUAUUUUCAAUAAACUGAAAGGCGCAACGAAAGUGAAGGCGUGCGCUCGUCGCGCGCUCAGGGAGGAUGGAGCUUCGAUCUAGGUCGUACUCUCGCACUCCCGAGGCGUCUCGUUUCCAAUCCGUGAAUGCAGGCGCGCUC
rnacentral:rRNA from 1 species